AAUGAACGCUGGCGGCGUGCCUAACACAUGCAAGUCGAGCGAGAAAGUCCCUUCGGGGAGCGAGUACAGCGGCGGACGGGUGAGUAACGCGUGGACGAUCUACCCAAGGAUUCGGGAUAACCUUGCGAAAGCGGGGCUAAUACCGAAUGGUCUGGGCAUUUUGAAAUGUGCCUGGUAAAGGUGGCCUCUGAUUCAAGCUAUCGUCUUUGGAUGGGUCCGCGUCCCAUUAGCUUGUUGGUAGGGUCAUGGCCUACCAAGGCGACGAUGGGUAGCUGGUCUGAGAGGAUGAUCAGCCACACUGGGACUGGAACACGGCCCAGACUCCUACGGGAGGCAGCAGUGGGGAAUAUUGGGCAAUGGGCGCAAGCCUGACCCAGCAACGCCGCGUGAGGGAAGAAGGUCUUCGGAUCGUAAACCUCAGUCAGGAGGGAAGAAAUGGGUUGUCCUGAACAGGGAUGGCCUUUGACGGUACCUCCAGAGGAAGCACCGGCCAACUCCGUGCCAGCAGCCGCGGUAAUACGGAGGGUGCAAGCGUUAUUCGGAAUCACUGGGCGUAAAGCGCACGUAGGCGGCUUUGCAAGUCAGGUGUGAAAGCCCUCGGCUCAACCGAGGAAUUGCACUUGAAACUGUAGAGCUCGAGUUCGGGAGAGGGUGGCGGAAUUCCAGGUGUAGGAGUGAAAUCCGUAGAUAUCUGGAGGAACACCAGAGGCGAAGGCGGCCACCUGGACCGAAACUGACGCUGAGGUGCGAAAGCGUGGGGAGCAAACAGGGUUAGAUACCCUGGUAGUCCACGCCGUAAACGAUGGAUGCUAGAUGCUGGGUGUGUAAGACAUUCGGUGUCGGAGUUAACGCGUUAAGC
rnacentral:rRNA from 1 species